rnacentral:rRNA from 1 species
CAGUGACAGGUGCUGCAUGGCUGUCGUCAGCUCGUGUCGUGAGAUGUUCGGUUAAGUCCGGCAACGAGCGCAACCCACAUCCUUAGUUGCCAGCAGUUCGGCUGGGCACUCUAGGGAAACUGCCCGUGAUAAGCGGGAGGAAGGUGUGGAUGACGUCAAGUCCUCAUGGCCCUUACGGGUUGGGCUACACACGUGCUACAAUGGCAGUGACAAUGGGUUAAUCCCAAAAAGCUGUCUCAGUUCGGAUUGGGGUCUGCAACUCGACCCCAUGAAGUCGGAAUCGCUAGUAAUCGCGUAACAGCAUGACGCGGUGAAUACGUUCCCGG